GUCCUGGCCGUAAACGAUGGAUACUAGGUGUCGGGGGUAUCGACCCCUCCGGUGCCGCAGCUAACGCACUAAGUAUCCCGCCUGGGGAGUACGGCCGCAAGGUUGAAACUCAAAGGAAUUGACGGGGGCCCGCACAAGCGGUGGAGCAUGUUGUUUAAUACGUCACUAACCGUAGAACCUUACCAGGGCUUGACAUCCGUCGACAGCGUGUGAAAGCGCGUUUUCUCCGCAAGGAGACGGCGAGACAGGUGUUGCAUGGCUGUCGU
rnacentral:rRNA from 1 species